AACGAACGCUGGCGGCAUGCCUAACACAUGCAAGUCGAACGGGACCUUCGUGUCUAUUUGCGCACGUCUACUGACCGCGGGGUAACCUGCCCUUGGGUUCGGAAUCACUCCCCGAAGGGUGUGCUAAUACCGGUUAGUGUCUUCCGACCAAAGAUUUCUGGCAUUUGGAUGGGGCCUGGUUAGAUUCGCCAGUUGGUAGUGUAAAAGCAUACCAAGGCGAGGAUGCAUAGCUGGUCUGAGAGGAUGAUAAGUCAGACUGGGAAUGAGACACGGCCCAGAACCGUACGGGAGGGAGCAGUGGGGAAUAUUGGGCGAUGGGGGAAAGCGUGAUACAGCAACGCCGCGGGAGUGAUGAAGGCCGUAGGAUUGUAAAGCUCUUUUACCCGGGAUGAUAAUGACAGUACUGGGAGAAUAAGCUCCGGCUAACUCCGUG
rnacentral:rRNA from 1 species